UACAGAGGUCUCGAGCGUUGUUCGGAUUUAUUGGGCGUAAAGGGUGCGUAGGCGGCCGUGCAAGUCUGGCGUGAAAGCCCCGGGCUCAGCCCGGGAAGUGCGCUCGAAACUGCGCGGCUCGAGUGCCGGAGGGGAGAGUGGAAUUCCUGGUGUAGCGGUGAAAUGCGUAGAUAUCAGGAGGAAUACCGGUGGCGAAAGCGACUCUCUGGACGGCAACUGACGCUGAGGCACGAAAGCGUGGGGAGCAAACAGG
rnacentral:rRNA from 1 species